rnacentral:rRNA from 1 species
GACGAACGCUGGCGGCGUGCUUAACACAUGCAAGUCGAACGGUAAGGCCCUUCGGGGUACACGAGUGGCGAACGGGUGAGUAACACGUGGGUGAUCUGCCCUGCACUUCGGGAUAAGCCUGGGAAACUGGGUCUAAUACCGGAUAGGACCACUGCCUGCAUGGGUGGUGGUGGAAAGCUGUUGCGGUGUGGGAUGGGCCCGCGGCCUAUCAGCGUGUUGGUGGGGUGAUGGCCUACCAAGGCGACGACGGGUAGCCGGCCUGAGAGGGUGACCGGCCACACUGGGACUGAGAUACGGCCCAGACUCCUACGGGAGGCAGCAGUGGGGAAUAUUGCACAAUGGGCGCAAGCCUGAUGCAGCGACGCCGCGUGAGGGAUGACGGCCUUCGGGUUGUAAACCUCUCUCAGCACCGACGAAGCGCAAGUGACGGUAGGUGCAGAAGAAGGACCGGCCAACUACGUGCCAGCCGCCGCCGUAAGAC